rnacentral:rRNA from 1 species
AGAUUGAACUGAAGAGUUUGAUCCUGGCUCAGAUUGAACGCUGGCGGCAUGCCUUACACAUGCAAGUCGAACGGCAGCGCGGACUUCGGUCUGGCGGCGAGUGGCGAACGGGUGAGUAAUACAUCGGAACGUACCCUGUUGUGGGGGAUAACUAGUCGAAAGAUUAGCUAAUACCGCAUACGACCUGAGGGUGAAAGCGG